CUUGUUUAUUCUAUGUGUUGAUGCUCUCUCUCACUGUCUCCAAGGAGUGGUCCAGCAGACGGAGCUUGAGCCCCACUGGCCUACCCCUGGGAGGUUGUCUUUGUCACACCUCUUUUUUACAGAUAACUACCUGCUCAUUGGUCGGGCCUCACCAUAAAAUGUGAGGUACUUUGCGACUAUUAUAGAGGCCUAUUGCAGGGCAUCUGGCUAGUUGGUGAACCU
rnacentral:lncRNA from 1 species